CGCAUCUGUGCAUGCAGCAUAUCAAUAAGCGGAGGAAAAGAAACUAACAAGGAUUCCCCUAGUAACGGCGAGUGAAGCGGGAAGAGCUCAAAUUUGAAAUCUUAAAGGGUUUCCCUUUACGAAUUGUAGUUUAAAGAAGUGUUUUCUGUUGAGGUUUUGGUAAAAGUUCUUUGGAAUAGGACAUCAUAGAGGGUGAGAAUCCCGUAUUUGACCUUUACUUUCAACUUUGUGAUACACUUUCAAAGAGUCGGAUUGUUUGGGAAUGCAGUCCAAAAUGGGUGGUGAAUUUCAUCUAAGGCUAAAUAUUGGCGAGAGACCGAUAGCGAACAAGUACCGUGAGGGAAAGAUGAAAAGAACUUUGAAAAGAGAGUUAAACAGUACGUGAAAUUGUCAAAAGGGAAGCGUUUGACACCAGUGUUGUUUUUCUGAAAAUCAAUUAAAGAACUGUUUAUGCUAAGUUGUUUAGACUUUAUCAGCUAACUGUUUAGUUUUGAGCUUUUCUUUAAUGCACCUUUCAGUUAACAAGUCAACAGUCAAUUUCUUCUGCUGUAAAAAAGCUUGAGGAAGGUGGCUUGAGAUUCGUCUUAAGUGUUUAUAGCCUCUUGCCUAUGCAGUCGGAGAGAUUGAGGUCUGCAGCGUAGAUCCUUCGGGGCUAAAUGCAUUUGUGCUAAGUUAUAACAUUUUAUAGACAACUUGUUGACUAUGAUUUGUCUUGUAGCUUACUCGCUUAUGUUAUUUUACCUACGCUUAGGAUGUUGAACGCGCACAGAGUCUC
rnacentral:rRNA from 1 species